UAUAUUUAUUAACAUUAACGACAUUUUGGUCUCCGUCAUGUUGUUAUUUGACUCAUAAAUGAAAUUUGUAAAAUUAUCUAUGACGUGAACACGAUAUUUUUUGUUGUUUUCUUUUGCUUGUUUCUUAAACCGAAAAAUAAAUUAUCUUCAACUCAUUACUCACUUCAUAAAUUUAUUUAUAUAAGCAUUUAAUUUAUUAAUUAAUUCAUUAUUAAUUCGAGUCGAAAGAAGAUGUUGAAGACACUUUUUUUUUUUUUUUUUUUCCUCAGGCAGUAUUUUAGCCGCCUCCAUGCUGGGGUCCUUUGAGUCUGUGGCGCGGGAUGUCGCGUAUUCACUUUACCAGUUUUGAAACAGCCAUACUGUCGACAUGUGAUAUAUAUGUGUGUUUAUAUAUAUAUAUUUAAACAGUUUAACUUUAUUUUCAUGUCAUUACUGUAAAAAAUGUUUUCCUUCAAUCAGAAUUGCUGGUUUAUACGGAAGGUGGUGAGAUGGCGAGCUGUAGCCAGUAUCGGGUGGUCAGUGGUGCUGCUGCCUCCCAUCACCGCUCUGCUCGUCUUCUUCAUCAGGUUCAGUGUGUUUCACCCCACACACUGGCUCUCGGGAUGUUUGGGUUUGCUCACAGAGGCGAGUACACUUUUCUCCAUGUUCCUGCUCUGUGCAGCUGUUAUUCUCCUCGCCUUCUUCAACCUGCAGUAUUACACGGUCGUUCCCUCCAUCCCGUGUUCUCGAGUGGCUCUCCUGGCUGAAGUGCUCCACCCUCGUCAGUGUGUUCACUCUCUGGUGCACUGCGCGGUCGGGAUGCUGGUGAUGUGGUGUGUGUGCGUGAUGGCAGGCGGCCGCUAUCACGCUCUCCACUCUCCCUGCACACACGGCGACAGUGUUGACGUGUGUCUGAACGAGUAUCACAUGUUCAUGCUGCUGGCCGGAGCGUUUAUGGGUUACUCUCACAGUUUAAUGGGCGUCGUCCAAAACGUCCACUACGUCUCCUUUCACAUCAUACAGCAGUAUAAGUACAUGCGCUUUAAAGGCUCUGUGUGGUGGCUGCUGAAGUGCAGUGCUGUUCAGUCUUUAUAUUCAGUCAGGAAUUACGCCAUCCUCUAUUUCCUCUUCGGACACAUCCCCAGGACGUGGAUCUCCAACACACUGAAUCUGCACAUAGACAGUUCUGUGCGCUCUCUGGACUCGUUUGGAGGACUGUGUGACGUGUCGUUGUUCUACCAGCUGUGGAUCAGUGGAACAUUCCUGCUGCUCACCUGGUACCUCACCGUGCUGCUCUUCAGGAUUUACGUCACAGAGCCGUACAGGUUUCCGGUGCAGUCGUCAUUCGCUGAGGACGCAGAAGAGUGUCUUCCUAAAGUCCUGACUGAGAAGAAUGCCUUGGUCAUGAAGUUUCUGGCGCUGCAGGAUUUGGCGUUGCUUUCCCAGCAUUCCCCUGCACGUAGACAGGAAGUCUUCAGCCUCAGUCAGCCAGGUGGUCACCCUCACAACUGGAACGCUAUUAGUAAGGAGUGUUUGUCACUGUUGAGUGAAUUAACACAGCGUCUCAUCGCUCAUCACGACGCCGUGGCGUCUAACGGCAGAGCAAAACCUCCGUCUGACUCCAGAUCCAGCUCAUCCUGCUCAGUGACAUCGGGGACGGAGGAUCUUUCUCAGAGUCCUUUCCACAGUGCUCUGAGCAGGACUCCUGGCUCAGUGUUCGGUUCCGCAGUGAGCGGUGUGAACUUGCCCCUGACCGCCCCGUUCACCCCCGACCUGACCUCCCCAUUCUCCAGCCCCGCCUUCAGACCCCUGUUCAGCUCACAAUUGGCCCAGAAACCCUGGUUGGGUUCGGUCCAGAGUCCUCACGUCACCCGGAGGAACCCCAAACUGUGGAGCACGUCCACUGACUCGCAGACCAAUGGGAGCCCUCUGCCAUCUCCUGAGCCUGCCCCCAAACCUGCAGGUGAACGGAAACCCAGCUUUCUGUCCCAGUGGCUCCAGAACAGGAAGGAACAGGUUAAAGGUUUCUUGGCAAAGCGUGUGCUGGUUGUGUAUUUAUUUAAUAAGCUGCCUGAGGCUUCGAGUCAAGCUCUGUUUGCUGAUAGCCAAGCGCACAUCUGGGCUCUGGAAGGAUUGUCUCAUCUGGUGUCUGCUUCGUACUCUGAGGACAAGUAUGGAGUGGUGCAGACUACGUUACCCAGCAUCCUCAGCAGCAUGCUGUCUCUGCAGGAGGCUGUGGACCGUCACUUUAAGCUUCCUCACGCCUCCAGUAAGCCGCUGAAGACCUCGUGCAGUUUGGGCGACUCGACGUAUAAAACCCUGCGCUUUGCUCUGAGGGCGGCUCUGAAAACCGCCAUCUACAGGAUCACCACCACCUUCAGGGAGCACUUACAGUAAACUCCUCCCAUUUAUUUCAUUUACAUCCAUAAUAAACAGCAGCUCGCGUCAGGAGACCAGACCACCAGUCACGGGAGUCGUCAUGUGAUCUGUCUGUGGGCGUGGCCUGACUGUGGGUGUGGCCUGACUUCAGAAUUUCCGACUUUUUAUUUCAACAUCUACAUGAUCUUCAGUGGAAGCUUGUGUAAUGGAAAGUGGGCGGGGCUAAUCCUGGAUAAUGUGUAAUCGUAAGGAUGAUGUCACUCAACACUGUUGAUGCCAAGUGAGCUAGCCAAGUUAGCUUUGUGAGUGAAUCUAGUGAAGAAAAAACCCCAACCCUGGAUAGUGACGAGAGAGAGCGAGAGAGUUAGCCUGGUGAGCUGAGACCAAGUAACUGAACUUGAGCAAGAGCUAACAUAGUGACUGAAGGUUGAGCUAGCUACUGUAGCUAGCUUAUAUAGCAGUGCUGUCAGUGUUCCAGCGGAGCAGCAGAAGAGACUUCAGCAGUUCCUGGAAUAUAAGGAGUAGCACUUCCACCUCCAUCUGUGACCGACGGACGGAGACGCAGGAGUCGCUGCUCGGCGAGAUGUUUGUACCAGCAGCUCGGAUUUGCCUGGAUUUGUUUUGUUUUUGUCUGCGAAGUCUUUGGCGUCCAUCUUUAACCUGCGUCUCUCAGCUGCUCCUCACCUUCCUGCUGCAGAUGGACCGGUGUCACCUGUUAAACUUUGGGGUUUCUGCCUUUAUUCGGAAAAAAUAUUAAUAAACUUUUCUACACGUUUUCUCGGUUUGUUCUGUCGCUCAUCCUUUCCUUCACUGGCCUCUUUAUAAGGAACGGUGCUGUAAAAAUUACCAAUAAAAAAAAACAAACAGUGUUCA